rnacentral:rRNA from 1 species
UGGGGAAUAUUGGGCAAUGGGCGAAAGCCUGACCCAGCAACGCCGCGUGAGGGAAGAAGGUUUUCGGAUUGUAAACCUCUGUCGCAGGAGACGAAAGAAAUGGCGGUAUUCUGUGAGGAAGCCCCGGCUAACUACGUGCCAGCAGCCGCGGUAAUACGUAGGGGGCAAGCGUUAUCCGGAUUCAUUGGGCGUAAAGAGCGCGUAGGCGGACGUUUAAGCAGAAUCUCUAAUCUGAGGGCUCAACCCCCAGCCGGAUUCUGAACUGGAUGUCUCGAGUUUGGUAGAGGAAGAUGGAAUUCCCGGUGUAGCGGUGGAAUGCGCAGAUAUCGGGAAGAACACCGAUGGCGAAGGCAGUCUUCUGGGCCAUAACUGACGCUGAGACGCGAAAGCGUGGGGAGCAAACA